AGCGAACGCUGGCGGCAGGCCUAACACAUGCAAGUCGAGCGGCCGUAGCAAUACGGCAGCGGCAGACGGGAGAGUAACACGUGGGAACGCGCCCCUCGGUUCGGGAUAACUCAGGGAAACUUGGGCUAAUACCGGAUACGCCCUUACGGGGAAAGAUUUAUUGCCGAAGGCACGGCCCGCGUCCGAUUAGCUUGUUGGUGAGGUAACGGCUCACCAAGGCGACGAUCGGUAGCUGGUCUGAGAGGAUAACCAGCCUCACGGGGACUGAGACACGGCCCAGACUCCUACGGGAGGCAGCAGUGGGGAAUAUUGGACAAUGGGCGCAAGCCUGAUCCAGCCAUGCCGCGUGGGUGAUGAAGGCCCUAGGGUUGUAAAGCCCUUUCAGCGGGGAGGAUAAUGACGGUACCCGCAGAAGAAGCCCCGGCUAACUUCGUGCCAGCCGCCGCGGUAAGAC
rnacentral:rRNA from 1 species